rnacentral:rRNA from 1 species
GACGAACGCUGGCGGCGCGCCUAACACAUGCAAGUCGAGCGAGAACCAGAGCUUCGGCUCUGGGGAAAGCGGCGAACGGGUGAGUAACACGUGGGUAAUCUGCCCUCGGCAUCGGGAUAGCCCGGGGAAACCCGGAUUAAUACCGAAUGGCCUCUCGCACUCUCGGGUGCGAAAGAAAAGGUGGCUUCGGCUUCUGGCCGAGGAUGAGCCCGCGGCCGAUUAGCUUGUUGGUGGGGUAAUGGCUCACCAAGGCUCCGAUCGGUAGCUGGUCUGAGAGGACGAUCAGCCACACUGGGACUGAGACACGGCCCAGACUCCUACGGGAGGCAGCAGUGGGGAAUCUUGCGCAAUGGGCGAAAGCCUGACGCAGCGACGCCGCGUGCGGGAAGAAGGCCUUCGGGUUGUAAACCGCUUUCAGGAGGGACGAAGCCACUCGCGUUAAUAGCGCAGAGGGUGACGGUACCUCCAGAAGAAGCCCCGGCUAACUACGUG